GGCACGCCUCGGCCUGGUCGUGGUGGGCGUGGCGUUGACGGCUACGGUCACGGCAGCGUCGGGGCCGAUCGCGUUCGUUUCCCUGGUCGCGCCGC
rnacentral:tRNA from 1 species